GGAGAGGUGACCGAGUGGCCGAAGGUGUGCGCUUGGAAAGCGUAUGUACAGCAAUGUACCGGGGGUUCGAAUCCCCCCCUCUCCG
rnacentral:tRNA from 2 species